GGGGCGGCGAGGCGAGGCCUGCGGAGCGGAGGAAGACAAACAUAAAGAUGAAGUGCUUAAUUCAAGGUCACACAAUGUCGGGGAUGGACCUCCAGAUUUCCUUACUGGAAAACAAGCUCAGGGCUCCCACUGAUUGUACAUUAUGAGACGGAGUCUUGCUAUGUUGCCCAGGCUGGUCUUGAACUCCUCACCUCAAGCGAUCCUCCCGUCUUGGCCUCCCAAGUGUCAGGAUUACGGGCAUGUGCUAUCACACCCAACCUGAUACAUUGCCUUUAUAAAUUUUUUUUUCUUUAUUCUAAAAACCAGAAAAAACAAAACUGGAUACAUGUGCAGAACAUGCAGGUUUGUUACAUAGCUGUACGUGUGCCAUGGUGGUUUGCUGCACCUAUUGACCUAUCCUACCAAGUGUGUUGGGGACUUGAGAUGCGUACAUGAGUGUGAUGUUUCCUGCUGAAAGCACAGGUGAGACGUGGUCUUGUAACACAGUGGUUAAGAAUGUGACUUUGGAGCCAGCCUGCUAGGGGCUGAAUUCUGACUCAGCCAUUUACUAACUGUGUGACCUUAGGGAGGAGGACCUGGUUGAUAGAAGAAUUUAUCUCGUAGUCUUAACAUCCACUGUAAUUCCAAACUUUGAGGACGAUAGAGAUCAGUGGGCUUUGACUGCCCAGCAUGCAGUCUCCAUUCUUAGGUGGGUUCCCAAGCCUGUAAAAUGUAAGCCUUAUGCUGCUGAGGGCCAUCUUGCCACCCUGAGGGAAACGCUGCCUGAGAAUGAAACAAGCAUAAGUAAAAGCUGAGCUGUGAGAUGGAGCAAGAUGAAGGCCACAUGACAUCUUUGGAGCACCUGGAUCUAACUGUGCCUUAAGCUAGUCUAACCCUGAACAUUUCAUCAUUUCAUUGACAUGAGCCCAGGUUUUCUUUUUUUUUGGAUGGAGUCUUGCUCUGUCGCCCAGGCUGGAGUGCAGUAGCUCAAUCUCGGCUCACUGCAAGCUCCACCUCCCGGGUUCACGCCAUUCUCCUGCCUUAGCCUCCCAAGUAGCUGGGACAACAGGCGCCCACCACCACUCCCAGCUAAUUUUUUGUAUUUUUAGUAGAGACGGGGUUUUACCAUGUUAGCCGGGAUGGUCUUGAUCUCCUGACCUCAUGAUCCGCCCGCCUCGGCCUCCCAAAGUGCUGGGAUUACAGGUGUGAGCCACUGCACCCAGCCCUCAGGUUUUCCCUUUUUUUACCCCUCCUUUUGAAAAUUUGAUGUGGAAUUUUGCCACCUGCAGCCAGAAGAGUUUUAACUAAUCAGUGCCAUAAAUUUUAUAUAGUUCUCCUUGCAAAAUGUGGAUCAGCCUUUCUCAGCAAAUCCUUUGUCAUAAAGUGCUGAAUUGUAAGUUUGUCAUGAGAAUCACAUGAGAUCAUGCAUGUGAAGAACCUGGCAUUAUCCUCCUCAUAGAAAAAAACCAGUAAAUAUUAACUACAGGAAGCAAGGAAGGAGUGGGGUGAGGGGAAGAAGAAGGGGUACUGAUUUAAAAGAACCCUGGAGUCCUAAGGAUAAUCUAGGAACCCUCAGACCCAAUCCGAUACCCCUAUUCUAAAUGCUCCUAGUGCCCUGUACCUUCCCCUCAUAAGCCUUCAUUAUCAUUGUAAUGAUAUGUUUAUGUAAUAUUUUGAUUAAUGUCUCUCCUUCACUGACCUAGCAGUUCUAGCAGGGCAGUGAUUUUGCUGUGUUGCAUCCCCAGCACCUAGUCUGGUAUGUGGCAUUCAGCAUAUGUUUAUUGAAUGAAUGGCCAUGUGGUUAUUCAGAUCCUCCUUGAUUAUUGGGGUUAGGAUUGUGGCAGAAGUGGCAAAAUCAGGGAGAGUAGUCCCUGUCCCCUCUGUAUCUUAUACACUGCCCACACUCCCAACACACAUACACAUACAGAGAAUUUUGUCUCAAUUAGAUAAUUAACUUCUGCUUGGUUGUAAACCAAACCACUGGUUCUUAAACUUUCAUUGGAUCAUUUUAUUGAAGAAUUAAAUAGUGUGGUUCUGGCCUAAUGUCUGGAAAGCCUUGCAGAGGAGUGGAUUAGGUCUUUGUGAUAAACAGGCAGCCUUCCCUGCUCCUGUGUCUUUAUAAAAUCUAUUUAACUGGAGUAGUCCACCCUCCCUCAGGCUCUUACAGGAAUAUGUUGGAGGCUGUAGGAAGGUGGGAAACCGAGAGGGAAAGGACUGGGCCGCUGGAGACUUCACUCAUUCCCUAGCAAGAAACAAAAGCAGUAAAAGGUGGCCCGAGGACAACCUGAAGCUCACUCCUUCAGCACUUUUGGCUGGAGGUCACUUGUUGGAGCCCCACUCAGAGCUCAGCACACCACCCCACCAGCAGCCUCCUCCUCCCAGCUGAGGCUGCAUUUCAUCCCUUCCCCCAGCCUGCUUUCCCUGAGAUAGGGGAGUGUUUCCCAGGGCCCAUGUGACUUCCACUGGCAAGUGACGAUUACCAAUGGUUUACUAGUCAGUGAAACUACCAAAGGCUUUUGUGCUGUAGUAAUCCUUUUCCUGUUUAAAACUCUGGGGAUUUUCUAAUGUUGCCAAUAGUUUUUCAAGUCAGCAAUUACUGUGUGGAUUAUGUAAUGGCUCGGUAUUA
rnacentral:lncRNA from 1 species